rnacentral:rRNA from 1 species
UGGGGAAUAUUGGACAAUGGGCGCAAGCCUGAUCCAGCAAUGCCGCGUGGGUGAAGAAGGCCUUCGGGUUGUAAAGCCCUUUUGUACGGGAAGAAAUCCUGUCGGUUAAUACCCGGCGUGGAUGACGGUACCGUCAGAAUAAGCACCGGCUCACUUCGUGCCAGCAGCCGCGGUAAUACGAAGGGUGCAAGCGUUAAUCGGAAUUACUGGGCGUAAAGCGUGCGUAGGCGGUUCGUUAAGUCUGUCGUGAAAGCCCUGGGCUCAACCUGGGAAUGGCGAUGGAUACUGGCGAGCUAGAGUGUGAUAGAGGAUGGCGGAAUUCCCGGUGUAGCGGUGAAAUGCGUAGAGAUCGGGAGGAACAUCUGUGGCGAAGGCGGCCAUCUGGAUCAACACUGACGCUGAGGCACGAAAGCGUGGGGAGCAAA